GUGGCCUGAUUAUAGCUCACUGUAGCCUCGAAAUUCUGGGCUGAAAUGAUCCUCCUGCCUCAGCCUCCAAAGUAGCUGAGACUACAGGCUGGUCUUGAACUCUUGGGCUGAAGAGAUUCUCCCACCUCAGCCUCCCAAGGUGUUGAGAUUACAAGCAUGAGCCACCUCACCUGGCCAAGAGCUAGUUGUUAAAAGAGCCUAGCACUACCCCCCUCUUUCUUGUUUCCUCUCUCACCAUGUGAUCUCCACACACAUUGGCUUGCCUUCCCUUUCUGACAUGAGCGGAAGCAGCCUGAGGCCCUCACCAGAUGUGGAUGCCAGUGCCAUGCUUCUUGUACAAUCUGCAGAAUCAUAAGCUAAAUACACCUCUUUUCUUUAUAAAUUA